rnacentral:rRNA from 1 species
CCUACGGGAGGCAGCAGUAGGGAAUCUUCCACAAUGGACGAAAGUCUGAUGGAGCAACGCCGCGUGAGUGAAGAAGGGUUUCGGCUCGUAAAGCACUGUUGGCAGUGAAGAAAGAUAGAGGUAGUAACUGGCCUUUAUUUGACGGUAAUUACUUAGAAAGUCACGGCUAACUACGUGCCAGCAGCCGCGGUAAUACGUAGGUGGCAAGCGUUGUCCGGAUUUAUUGGGCGUAAAGCGAGUGCAGGCGGUUCAAUAAGUCUGAUGUGAAAACCUUCGGCUCAACCGGGGAAUUGCAUCAGAAACUGUUGAACUUGAGUGCAGAAGAGGAGAGUAGAACUCCAGGUGUAGCGGUGGAAUGCGUAGAUAUAUGGAAGAACACCAGUGGCGAAGGCGGCUCCCUGGUCGGCAACUGACGCUGAGGCUCGAAAGCAUGGGUAGCGAACAGGAUUAGAUACCCUUGUAGUC